UACGUAGGGGGCGAGCGUUGUCCGGAUUUAUUGGGCGUAAAGAGCGUGUAGGCGGCCAGGUAGGUCUGCCGUGAAAACUCGAGGCUCAACCUUUGAAUGUCAGCGGAUACUGCCGGGCUAGAGUCCGGAAGAGGCGAGUGGAACUCCUGGUGUAGCGGUGGAAUGCGCAGAUAUCAGGAAGAACACCAACGGCGAAGGCAGCUCGCUGGGACGGAACUGACGCUAAGGCGCGAAAGCGUGGGGAGCGAACAGG
rnacentral:rRNA from 1 species